UGCAUUGUAUCAGAAACCUAUUGAUCUCCACAGCUACCUUCAUGCCACCAGCAUUCAUCCUAAGCACAUCACUAGAUCCAUCUACAGCCAAGCUCUCCAUUUCAACUGAAUCUGCUCUGACCACACCAGUAGUAUAUGGCACUCCACCCUUCAAUGCAAAUGUGACAGGUGGGCAGGACCGGAAGUCCUGCCCCCUUCGCUCCACCCCCUUUCCCCUUUUAUGGUGUGUGACGUCAUCAGCCACACCCCCUAACCCCGGUCACGUGGUGCAUGACAUCAGCAACUCCGCCCCUGACCCCGGUCACAUGGUGCGUGACAUCAGCAAUUCCGCCCCUGACCCCAAACAUGUGGUGUGUGACACCAACACCACAUGGUUCAUGACAUCAGAAGGACAACCCAGGCAGACCCUCAAAGCCCAACCCCUCAUGCUGCAAGAUCUGCCCUAGAUCACAUGGUGCUGUUAUGGCCUAUCAGGUCCCUGACCACUCUAACCCCCCCCUACGCCGGAGCACAGGCGUAGCCUAUGGGGUGGUAGGGUGGUGAUGUGACCCCUCUAACAACCCACCCCAACACCCCCAACCAAUUGGCAGGGGUUUCAGAGGCCUCAGACCUCCCAAGAACAAUCCUGAACCAAUUGGAAUGAGUACAGUGGGGGGAUUGGGUUUAGGCGGUAAACCCACUAGGUCUAUCUGCUUUCCCAAAAGACCCCUCUGUUUAUCUGAGACCACGCUAAGGCAAGCAAGGGCAGAUAUGGAUUCUUUCACAAUGCCUGUAGGCCCACUCACUACAAUACCAAGACGGCCUUAUAGAAAGCGUUACCGUAGAAAUAGUUUUGAGGAGGAGAUCCGACUCCUUGCCCAAAGACUCUUUGAGACGCCUGACCCUGUUGGGGAAGAGCCUGUGAACAGGCAAUUGGAGGAGACCCAGGACCUCGAAGCAGACUUUGAGACUUUCAAGAUGGUAUCUUUGUGCCUGAGCCUGCGUGCGAAGUAGAGGUCACUGCAGAGGAGAGACCGCUAGAUGAAGCCUUUUUAAUGACACCAGAAAACCUCCUCACCAGAAGGAAGUGUAUGCUUCUGCAGAGAACAAAGACCUGAUGAGGCUGAAGAGUUAAGAAGUCAGCUCGGCAUCGAAUCUACACAAGCUCUUACAUCACGUGAACGUAAAGUUUUCAUGAAGUCUCUUGUUCGCGUUUCCUUUUAUGGCAUAAUGAAAUACUGCUUGAGGCAGAGACUUUUUGACCUAUGCUGGGGGUGCACAUUUGACUUAGGGGGUCAAGAAGCCCAUGAAUGUAUUACUUGGUUAGAUGAAGACAUAAAUAAAAUAAUUCAGGAUCUUUGCCAGGAAAUAUGUCUUGAUAGCAUUUUCAAUGCUGUUAUAAUCAUAGGGUUUGCCAGGAACAGUCUCAGAAUUACUGAGAAACACUUAAUUCAGGUUAGACAGCUUCUAAACACUGUGUAUUCUGCAGAAGAUCCUAAGGCUGCCCUUCAUGAUUUGAUCACUGAGGAAGAUGAAACACUCAUACCCCAUAUUGAACGCUUAAUUGGUGCUAGAGAUUAUAAAACCCUGCUUAAGAGAAAGGAUUAGCAAAAUGAGUUUGGGGCGUACCUCUGUUGCUGUUCUGGGUGGGAGACUGGGGAAUGUGAGGCUGUAAAACACAACAACAGUUUUCUACAUCUAAUGUAUUUUAGCAUUUGCUUUAGUGUCUUGGAUAUCUAAUCACAUACAUAUAGGGUUUUUUUGUAAAGAUAAAACAUUGAGACUUAAUGGUCAUUAGAAAUGAUAAAAAUCCUUCUUAGGAGAAGGGGUAACAAAAUAAACUAGUAAAAUAUUGUAAAAGUUUUAAUGGAAAUAAAGACUGAAUUUAAAAACA